rnacentral:rRNA from 1 species
GACCGGCCACACUGGGACUGAGACACGGCCCAGACUCCUACGGGAGGCAGCAGUGGGGAAUAUUGCACAAUGGGCGCAAGCCUGAUGCAGCAACGCCGCGUGAGGGACGACGGCCUUCGGGUUGUAAACCUCUUUUAGCAGGGAAGAAGCGAAAGUGACGGUACCUGCAGAAAAAGCACCGGCUAACUACGUGCCAGCAGCCGCGGUAAUACGUAGGGUGCAAGCGUUAUCCGGAAUUAUUGGGCGUAAAGAGCUCGUAGGCGGUUUGUCGCGUCUGCUGUGAAACCCCGAGGCUCAACCUCGGGCCUGCAGUGGGUACGGGCAGACUAGAGUGCGGUAGGGGAGAUUGGAAUUCCUGGUGUAGCGGUGGAAUGCGCAGAUAUCAGGAGGAACACCGAUGGCGAAGGCAGAUCUCUGGGCCGUAACUGACGCUGAGGAGCGAAAGGGUGGGGAGCAAACAGGCUUAGAUACCCUGGUAGUCCACCCCGUAAACGUUGGGAACUAGUUGUG